rnacentral:rRNA from 1 species
UACAGAGGGUGCGAGCGUUAAUCGGAAUUACUGGGCGUAAAGCGUGCGUAGACGGUUAUCUAAGUCGGAUGUGAAAGCCCCGGGCUCAACCUGGGAAUUGCAUUCGAGACUGAAUAGCUAGGGUACGGUAGAGGGAAGUGGAAUUUCCGGUGUAGCGGUGAAAUGCGUAGAUAUCGGGAGGAACACCAGCGGCGAAGGCGGCUUUCUGGACCAAUACUGACGCUGAGACGCGAAAGCGUGGGGAGCAAACAGG